UUUAAAUACAAUAGCAGGAAUGCUCCAUUUUACAGGGCUGAGGUCAGAGGAAGGGCUGUGGGGCCAAAAGACAAGGUAUAUAAGUAAGCCCUUCAUAAACUUCUCUAUUACCUUUCACAAAAGCAGGACUUUACAGCUCUUACAAAGCACAGCGGUGAUGUUUAUUUCUUAAAAAUUCAAUUUGUCUUCUUCAUCAGGAACUGCUGACCCAUCUCACCGCCAAAGGAUUAUGCUAGAAGAAGAAUUAGGAAUACCUGAAGUACUGGAGAGAGGCUGCCACGAGGCUGAGUUCCCAUGAGGCAGCUCUAGCAGGGGGAUGUGUUCCUGCACCGCUUCACUGGCCCUGAGGUCUGCAGGCUGCACCACCCUGAGGUCCUUCGUUGUGAGACUGACAGUGCAUGUAUGGAAUGCAAGCUCUUCAUUCAUCUCCACUUCCCAGAUGUUACAAUUUAAUCAGUGCUUGGCAGCAGUUCUUGUAAGUGACCCCUUCUCCGAGCUCUGUGUCAGCUGAAAACGUUAUCACUGGAGGUUUUAUUCGGGGGCACGGUUCAAAACAAAACAGCCCAACACAAUGCUAAACAGAAGACAACACCCAGUCCCUGCAGAAUGCCU
ensembl:lncRNA